rnacentral:lncRNA from 1 species
CCAUAAUACAGACCAGGACCGCCGGGCUCAUUACAAGCCCGGCGGUCCUGUUGGGGGCUGGCAGAGAGCUGUAACUUACCUGCAGCUCCUGUCAGCUCCCUUCUCUCUCCUCCGGUCCGGUCAGCUCCCCUGUCAGCUCCACUGCAAGUCCCGCGAGAGCCGUGGGGUCAGAGCGUUGCCACGGAUUACCGUGGCAACGCUCUGCGCGGCACUCAGACCGCGAGACUUGCAG